GAUGAACGCUGGCGGCGUGCCUAAUACAUGCAAGUCGAGCGAACGGACGAGAAGCUUGCUUCUCUGAUGUUAGCGGCGGACGGGUGAGUAACACGUGGAUAACCUACCUAUAAGACUGGGAUAACUUCGGGAAACCGUAGCUAAUACCGGAUAAUAUUCUGAACCGCAUGGUUCAAAAGUGAAAGACGGUCUUGCUGUCACUUAUAGAUGGAUCCGCGCUGCAUUAGCUAGUUGGUAAGGUAACGGCUUACCAAGGCAACGAUGCAUAGCCGACCUGAGAGGGUGGUCGGCCACACUGGAACUGAGACACGGACCAGACUCCUGCGAGAGGCAGCAGUAGGGAAUCUUCCGCAAUGGGCGAGAGCCUGACGGAGCAGCGCCGCGUGAGUGAUGAAGGUCUUCGGAUCGUAAAACUCUGUUAUUAGGGAAGAACAUAUGUGUAAGUAACUGUGCACAUCUUGACGGUACCUAAUCAGAAAGCCACGGCUAACUACGUG
rnacentral:rRNA from 1 species